CAGAGCCUUCCACACUCCAGGGGUAGCAUGCACCUGACCCUCACACCGGCUGGGCCUCCCAUGCAGCAGAGCACCUGGUUUAAGUCUUUAUAGGAGGCAAGACACCAGACUAACUGGACCAAUGGUCUGUUCAGGUGCAUCUGAAGUUAUACUAUCCUCUUGAAAAAGUCAUCACAACAUAUAAUUCUACAUGCCUUAUACACAGUCUGCUCACUUGUUUUGCAACUGUGUUCUGCUUCAAGGAACAAGCCUCGUCACUAUCUCCUCUAGGCUAGAGACUAGAACAAGAGCCCCUUUAGCUGGAAACUGGAGUCCCAUCUAAGGCUGAGUGACCAUGGAUAAAGCUGGAAAAAAUGGUUUGUUUACUCAUUACACUGUAAUUAACUGCACGCAUCUGCCUCUUUUAGUGCAUUAUAUGUUGUCUAACUGAAGCAGAGAUACACUAAGAUGGAAACCAUCUUAUUAAAAGCUCAGGGCUAUGAACUUACUCAGAGAAAAGGGCAUUGCAGCACCAGCAAGAAGGUCCAAGCGUCAGCUGAAGGUCAGGAGCAGCACUUCUGUCUGUGGUUUCCAGGCCGUCUGACACUUGGUGACUCAAUUUAUUCUUUAAGAAAUGUUGGUUUUACAGUAAAAUGCCCCACACCUAAAAUUUCCAUUGGCAUAUUAAUGUCUGAAAUUGCCCUUUUGAAGAUAGCUACUGCUAAAGGUAAUUGGGCCUGUUCUGUGUUCUCUGAGCCUCAUGCCAAUUUAGAACUGAACGUUUGUAUUCAUUUUUCAUGUUCCAUUUUCAUUAAGAUGAGAAAUUUUUUGGAAGGUUGUGUGGACUAGAGUCCAAUCAAAUGCCUCCAUAUGGUCCUCAUUUAUCUCUGUUCAGGUACUAGUAGAUCUUAAGCAUCUGUGACAAACCAUGAAACAAGGGGCCAAGGUCAGAGGUGAUGUGUGAGGUGAUAUAACUUGCACAUCAUUAAGAGGGUGUAAGGGAUUUUAAAGUUGGUAGAAAGUGUAACAAAAUAUAAGUUAAAUCCUAUCCUCCUGCAUGUUCCUUUUCC